AUGGAGAUCCAGCUGCGACAUCUGUCACCCCACUGAUUGCCAGGGUUGACUGGGCUGCUCUGGCUGCUAGGCAGGUGUCCCCUCCCUCCCUCACUGCUCCACGUGUGUCCCGCCUGAAGCUGCAUGCUCGGUGGAAGAGGGUGGUCACCCCAGCAGGGGAGGACCGUUCCUCAGCCCGCCUCACAGUCCCUCACUGUCUUUGACACAAAGUCUCCCUAAGUCACUAAAUUGCUCAAGGCUGGGCUUGAACCUUCACUCUUUCCUGGCUCAGCCUCCCAGCAUUU
rnacentral:sRNA from 1 species